GGGGGGCGUGCUAUAAUGCAGUCGAGCGGACAGAUGGGAGCUUGCUCCCUGAUGUUAGCGGCGGACGGGUGAGUAACACGUGGGUAACCUGCCUGUAAGACUGGGAUAACUCCGGGAAACCGGGGCUAAUACCGGAUGGUUGUUUGAACCGCAUGGUUCAGACAUAAAAGGUGGCUUCGGCUACCACUUACAGAUGGACCCGCGGCGCAUUAGCUAGUUGGUGAGGUAACGGCUCACCAAGGCGACGAUGCGUAGCCGACCUGAGAGGGUGAUCGGCCACACUGGGACUGAGACACGGCCCAGACUCCUACGGGAGGCAGCAGUAGGGAAUCUUCCGCAAUGGACGAAAGUCUGACGGAGCAACGCCGCGUGAGUGAUGAAGGUUUUCGGAUCGUAAAGCUCUGUUGUUAGGGAAGAACAAGUGCCGUUCAAAUAGGGCGGCACCUUGACGGUACCUAACCAGAAAGCCACGGCUAACUACGUGCCAGCAGCCGCGGUAAUACGUAGGUGGCAAGCGUUGUCCGGAAUUAUUGGGCGUAAAGGGCUCGCAGGCGGUUUCUUAAGUCUGAUGUGAAAGCCCCCGGCUCAACCGGGGAGGGUCAUUGGAAACUGGGGAACUUGAGUGCAGAAGAGGAGAGUGGAAUUCCACGUGUAGCGGUGAAAUGCGUAGAGAUGUGGAGGAACACCAGUGGCGAAGGCGACUCUCUGGUCUGUAACUGACGCUGAGGAGCGAAAGCGUGGGGAGCGAACAGGAUUAGAUACCCUGGUAGUCCACGCCGUAAACGAUGAGUGCUAAGUGUUAGGGGGUUUCCGCCCCUUAGUGCUGCAGCUAACGCAUUAAGCACUCCGCCUGGGGAGUACGGUCGCAAGACUGAAACUCAAAGGAAUUGACGGGGGCC
rnacentral:rRNA from 1 species